GAACGCACAUUGCACUCCUUGGUAUUCCGAGGAGUAUGCCUGUUUCAGUAUCAUGAGCACUCUCACAUCUAACCUUUGGGUUAAAAUGUGGAAUUGGGAUGCGCCGGUUAUCAUAACGGCCCUCCUAAAAUUCAGUUCUUGGCUGCUUCCUACUACAGCAGUUUGGCCUAAUAGUUUUGAGUCUCCGAUUCAAAUCUUUGGCUAACAUUUGCUUCAGGAUGUCAGUCUUGAUAUACAGAAAUCUCAUUCAAACUUUGAUCUGAAAUCAGGUAGGGCUACCCGCUGAACUUAAG
rnacentral:misc_RNA from 1 species